AAGGUUGGCUAAUCCUGGUCGGACAUCAGGAGGUUAGUGCAAUGGCAUAAGCCAGCUUGACUGCGAGCGUGACGGCGCGAGCAGGUGCGAAAGCAGGUCAUAGUGAUCCGGUGGUUCUGAAUGGAAGGGCCAUCGCUCAACGGAUAAAAGGUACUCCGGGGAUAACAGGCUGAUACCGCCCAAGAGUUCAUAUCGACGGCGGUGUUUGGCACCUCGAUGUCGGCUCAUCACAUCCUGGGGCUGAAGUAGGUCCCAAGGGUAUGGCUGUUCGCCAUUUAAAGUGGUACGCGAGCUGGGUUUAGAACGUCGUGAGACAGUUCGGUCCCUAUCUGCCGUGGGCGCUGGAGAACUGAGGGGGGCUGCUCCUAGUACGAGAGGACCGGAGUGGACGCAUCACUGGUGUUCGGGUUGUCAUGCCAAUGGCACUGCCCGGUAGCUAAAUGCGGAAGAGAUAAGUGCUGAAAGCAUCUAAGCACGAAACUUGCCCCGAGAUGAGUUCUCCCUGACCCUUUAAGGGUCCUGAAGGAACGUUGAAGACGACGACGUUGAUAGGCCGGGUGUGUAAGCGCAGCGAUGCGUUGAGCUAACCGGU
rnacentral:rRNA from 1 species